rnacentral:lncRNA from 1 species
AAUAAAUAUUCUUAGUUUACUAAGCUGUCAAAUAGACUAUAUAAUCAUAAUUAAUAAAAUGUAGAACAGUAAAUUUUGUAAUAGACAACUUAUUUACCAAGCAGUAAUAUCUUCAUUUGCAUGAUGAAUACUUAUGAAAAUUUGAAUACCUCAGCUUAAUUUAUCUAAACUCAUAGAGUAUCAACAAUAUACACAGCCGGGUGAUGUUACGCAUUCAUCGACUAAUUCAUUUUGCAGGGCAUCAAACCACGGUAUGUGGUAAUUCACUAGCAUGACAUCGUGUAUAAGAAACAAAUCGAUCGUCAAAAUGACACUUGAUACUACAGGCUUGAAAAAUCUUCGUUAUGGCAACAGUCAACUAGUCUAUACAGUAUUGACACUUCUAGUCAUUUUUGGAUUAUACCUGUUAACUAAGAAUUGGAAAGGCUUCACUAGCCUAGAGGAGGUGGACCUAGGAUACUUGCGUAUUUCGACAUAUGCUCACGCUUGUCGAAAACACACUCGUACCCAUAAGCAUGAAUGUUAAUUUGGCAUUAAUGUUGAUUCUAACAUCUAAUGUAAUACACAAAACUUCAAAGUUAUUGCAAAUGAUAAAUGACAAACGACCAUAAUUAACAAUAG